UUCGGGUAAAGCAGAGCAAGAAGAAAGCUACAUCAAGUGUUUUUGGCACUGCUGUGAAUUUGCUAAUGGGCCUUUGCAAGUGUUUGAAAACGGAGUGUUGAAGGCUGAGGAGUGUUUCAGAUCCUGUUAUGGGGAAGAAGGCCCAGAGUAUCCAGAAGAGUACUGACCUCACAGUCAGAACACUGAGCAUCAGUGCACCAGAGGGCUGCCUCACGGUAGAACAUGAGCAGGUAAUGCACAAGGAGCACCACUGGGAAUCAUGUCAGACGAGUCAAUCUCAGGGAGUGAUCCGGACCUGGACCCGGACUUGGAGCAGGAGGAUAUGGAAGAGGAGGAGGAGGAAGAUGAGGAGGAGGCGAUGGAGGAGGACAAUGAUGGGGAUGAUGAGGAAGACUUACUUGAUGAAAGUGGACCCUGCAGCCAGUGGAGUAGGAGGAAGUGUGACGUGGUUGCCAAACUUUCAUUAA
rnacentral:lncRNA from 1 species